AACCGCUGCACCUCCUAAGGGGCUGGAAAAACAUGGACAAAUGGUGGCAGCAGAUGCAAAUUCUACGCUCAGGCUUGCUUUCUAAAGGGCACUGCCUUCACUUGGAUCUAAAAACAAAGGAGAGAGGAAUAAUGCUAUUUUCCACAUUGACCUAAAAUAUAUAAAACUACUUUCAGGAGAAUUUUAAAACUCCAAAAAUACAAAUAACUUUUUAACAUGA